GGACGGGUGAGUAACACGUGGGUAACCUGCCUGUAAGACUGGGAUAACUCCGGGAAACCGGGGCUAAUACCGGAUGCUUGAUUGAACCGCAUGGUUCAAUUAUAAAAGGUGGCUUUUAGCUACCACUUACAGAUGGACCCGCGGCGCAUUAGCUAGUUGGUGAGGUAACGGCUCACCAAGGCGACGAUGCGUAGCCGACCUGAGAGGGUGAUCGGCCACACUGGGACUGAGACACGGCCCAGACUCCUACGGGAGGCAGCAGUAGGGAAUCUUCCGCAAUGGACGAAAGUCUGACGGAGCAACGCCGCGUGAGUGAUGAAGGUUUUCGGAUCGUAAAACUCUGUUGUUAGGGAAGAACAAGUACCGUUCGAAUAGGGCGGUACCUUGACGGUACCUAACCAGAAAGCCACGGCUAACUACGUGCCAGCAGCCGCGGUAAUACGUAGGUGGCAAGCGUUGUCCGGAAUUAUUGGGCGUAAAGCGCGCGCAGGCGGUUUCUUAAGUCUGAUGUGAAAGCCCCCGGCUCAACCGGGGAGGGUCAUUGGAAACUGGGGAACUUGAGUGCAGAAGAGGAGAGUGGAAUUCCACGUGUAGCGGUGAAAUGCGUAGAGAUGUGGAGGAACACCAGUGGCGAAGGCGACUCUCUGGUCUGUAACUGACGCUGAGGCGCGAAAGCGUGGGGAGCGAACAGGAUUAGAUACCCUGGUAGUCCACGCCGUAAACGAUGAGUGCUAAGUGUUAGAGGGUUUCCGCCCUUUAGUGCUGCAGCAAACGCAUUAAGCACUCCGCCUGGGGAGUACGGUCGCAAGACUGAAACUCAAAGGAAUUGACGGGGGCCCGCACAAGCGGUGGAGCAUGUGGUUUAAUUCGAAGCAACGCGAAGAACCUUACCAGGUCUUGACAUCCUCUGACAACCCUAGAGAUAGGGCUUCCCCUUCGGGGGCAGAGUGACAGGUGGUGCAUGGUUGUCGUCAGCUCGUGUCGUGAGAUGUUGGGUUAAGUCCCGCAACGAGCGCAACCCUUGAUCUUAGUUGCCAGCAUUCAGUUGGGCACUCUAAGGUGACUGCCGGUGACAAACCGGAGGAAGGUGGGGAUGACGUCAAAUCAUCAUGCCCCUUAUGACCUGGGCUACACACGUGCUACAAUGGGCAGAACAAAGGGCAGCGAAGCCGCGAGGCUAAGCCAAUCCCACAAAUCUGUUCUCAGUUCGGAUCGCAGUCUGCAACUCGACUGCGUGAAGCUGGAAUCGCUAGUAAUUC
rnacentral:rRNA from 1 species